GGCCGGCUCUUCCCUGUUCUCGUCGUUUUCGUUGUCGGAAUGGCGGGAGCUUAGAUGGCCGAUGUAACCUUUACGGGAUUUGAAGUAAGCGUUACAGCUGUGGCACUUGAACAGUGGCGCCGGCUGGGUGACCUGGGUGGAGACGUGGAGUUUGUACUUGUGCCUGUACCAACGCGUUCGAGACGGUAGCACCUCGCCGCACCACUUGCAGACUACGGAACCGUCGUUUUGAAUGAGAUGUCACCCGAGAUAAACGGAGUGGAAACAAAAUCCGCUUCACCGCGGCCAAUUACACGGAGGAAUUGCGGUUCAACGAACUCCGAAAGAAGAGCAAACGCUAAUGAAAACCGGAGGGUAAAACUAGAUAAGAGACGGUGAAGGAACGCUCUUCACGGUUUUUUUCUUGGGCUGCUUUCUAUUCGGACGACACAGUUUUCGUGCGAAACUCUUCUGCUAUUGUAGUAUGUGGUGUCAACAAAGAUUGUAAACAAAGCGUCUAAAGUGGGGACAGGCGAUCCCUAGCAAAGGACGUCUUUUAUCCCCUCUCUCGCCGUCUCGCGAGACUUCUUUGCACCAGUGUACACAGUAUACUUCACGUAUACUGAAACGUAGAAUAUUACUAAUCAUCCGUCCAAUACGAUAAACGUAUAUUAGAAACAGGAGAAAAAUUAUUUCUUACGUAUUAUUAAUUCAA